GGGUCACGUGACGGGGCUCUGGCUCGGCUGGUGGGUUCUUCAUCCCUGGGGGAUGAUCGAGUUCAUCAACGCGGAAAACUUAAGGCGGUUUUCGUCGGGCUGGUAUCUCCUGCUUUAUUGAAUGUUGAUAUUAAAUGCUUAGCUCCGGAAUUAUUUUUUCAGGUAUCGACUUUAGAUUAAAAGCCUAACAAUUCUUACCUUUCCCAUGGGCUGCCCGGCUCCCCGCGCGGUUCAACGCGAGCAGCGCCAGCAAGGGGACCUGUCCCGUGUCCUGCUCAUCGCGGCGUCCCCCGGGCGCGUCCACAGCCUGGGACGUCCAGGGGCUGCAGCGGUGCGAGCUGCUCUAGAGACGGAGGGCCCGGCCCAAGACCAGGGGCCCACGGUUUCAUCCUGCACUGUCCCCUGCCAACGAUGUGGCUGGUCCUGGGGGUCACAGGACUUCGCCCACCCCAUCUUCCUCCAUAUCCCCAGGGUGGAAACAAGGGAGCGAGAUGUGGAGGAACUGAUGAACAGACAAAAUGCGGCCUGUCCAUGCAGUGGAAUGUGAGUCAGCCAUCCAGAAGAGUGAAGUUCAGACCCGUGCCACAACGUGGGUGAACCUUGGAAACAUAUUAAGUAAAGCAAGCCAAUCACAAAAGGACAAAUACUGUGCGACUCCAUGCUAUGGACCGAGUUCUGUCCCCCUAACAUUUGUAUGUGAAGCCGUAAUCCCCAAUGUGACUGUGUUUGCAGAAAGGGCCUUUAGAGAAUUAAGGUUAAAUGAGAUUAUAAGGGUGGGAUCCUGAUCUGAUAGGAUUCGUGUCCUUGGAAGACGUACCACAGACGUGGCCCUGUGGCUCACGCCUGUAAUCCUAGCACUUUGGGAGGCCAAGCUUGGAGUACCACCUCCUCCAGGAGUUUGAGGCCAGCCUGGGCAACAAAGCAAGACCCCUGCCUCUACAAAAAAAUUAACAGGACAUGGUGGUACAUGCCUGUGAUCCCAGCAACUUGUUAUGGUUAUGUAAGAGGAGUGUGAAUUCCACCCUGGUGAUUUUGGUCGUGUCAGGAGCAGCCCUGUAACGCGAGUUGGCGCCUUCUGUAGGCUUUAUGUGUCGGUAAGACAGUCCCACCCAGCAACGGCCAGUUGACAAACAUAAACCUGCAUGGACAUUACCAUCCAUGCAAAGGAGCAGCCGGCACCGGCUGUGACCGACACGUGCCUGGCUGCGAUCUGAGUUUCAUGAACAGUAAACUCUGUUGAUCACAGCCUCUUUGGAAAACAAUGUCAGUUUAAAAGAAGAAGUGCCCUGUGACCAGCCGUGCCACCCUCAACAGGGUUCUUCAAGUGGGGCCCAGGCAAGCAGCCUCAGUAUCACUAGGGGUUGUUAGGAAUGUGCUUUCCUGGGCCCUGCCCCAGAAUGGCUGCACCAGCGACUGGGAGUGGGGCCCUGGGGCCCUGUGGUCCGUGAAGAGCUCUCAGGGGAUUCUGAUGCCUGAUGGCACAGGUGGGCCACCGGACUGCGGUGUCAUCUGCCCAUGGGCAUGAGAUAUGAAGAAGGACAUAGCAGGUCUGUUAGUCAUAACUAAAAGAACAAAGGGAAAAACCGGAAAACCACCCAGAUGUCGAUCAACAGAUGAUUAUGUAGUCUUGCUCUGACGCCUAGGCUGGAGUGCAGUAGUACAAUCUUGGUUCAUUACAACUUCUGCCUCCCAGGUUCAAGUGAUUCUUGUGCCUCUGUCUCCGGAGUAGCUGGGAUUACAGACCUCACUGAAGAUCCCCUGCCCCAGGCUCAAGUCAGAGAGAGAGGAGGUCACAGUGCUGGAAUUCCAGCUGGGCAUCCGUUCCAGCUCUGCGCUGAGUGCGUUCAGCCCCGGCUGGAGCUUGCAGACGGCAGCCCUGCAGGAACCCACCAGGGCUGACUCCUUCCUCCCCAGAUCCCACAGAACCACAGUGGAUCUCCACUCGGUACAUGUGCCCUCCACGUUCACAUGAAGUGUCUUUUAGCGGAAAGUAUAUAAACGCGUUAAUUUUGGUUACUGCACUGAAGUGAGGCAAGUUCCUGCAGCUUUAUUAAGUGACCAAUACUGUCACUCCCGAGUGUGAAAUUAACUCACUCUUCAUGGCAGGUUUGAGGGAGGCAGAGAAAACUCUUCUCUCACCUGAAACCGUGGCUUUGAGAAAAAUAAAGUAGCAACGACCGUGGCUCUGGGGAGCACGAUCCGAAU
rnacentral:lncRNA from 1 species